GGUCUAAUACCGGAUACUGAUCCGCUUGGGCAUCCUGGAGGAUCGAAAGCUCCGGCGGUGCAGGAUGAGCCCGCGGCCUAUCAUCUAGUUGGUGAGGUAAUGGCUCACCAAGGCGACGACGGGUAGCCGGCCUGAUAGGGCGACCGGCCACACUGGGACUGAUAACGGCCCAGACUCCUACGGGAGGCAGCAGUGGGGAAUAUUGCACAAUGGGCGAAAGCCUGAUGCAUCGACGCCGCGUGAGGGAUGACGGCCUUCGGGUUGUAAACCUCUUUCAUCAGGGAAGAAGCAAAAGUGACGGUACCUGCAUAAGAAGCGCCGGCUAACUACGUGCCAGCAGCCGCGGUAAUACGUAGGGCGCGAGCGUUGUCCGGAAUUAUUGGGCGUAAAGAGCUCGUAAGCGGCUUGUCACGUCGGUUGUGAAAGCCCGGGGGCUUUAACCCCUGGUUCUGCAGUCGAUACGGGGCAGGCUAGAGUUUCGGGAGGGGAGAUCGGGACUUCCUGGGUGUAUUGGUGAAAUGCGCAAAAUUCAUGAGGAACACCGGUGGCGAAAGGAGGAUUCUCUU
rnacentral:rRNA from 1 species